UUCUACUCCUUCUCCUUGAUUACAUGUGCCCUAGUCUAUCAACACUUCUUUUGCGAAGUAUCAGAGCCUUCGUUCAUCCUCCACCGUGGCGUGUUGACGACGGCAAGCUACCACCGUGGUUUGAAGGCUACGUUCACUGACAUUCUGAAACUAAAUGGUCUUUAGCACUUGGAAUUUAAUUGAAGUUGCCGAUGAAGUCUGAUUCGUGUUGACUGGUCUCCUGGAAAUAAGACAAUAUGAAAGCAUCAAACAAUGGACAUCAUUUCUCGAUUUGAAUAUUUUUUUAUGGAGGUCUUUAUAAAAUGGCGUCAUGAGUAAUAUUUUUGAGUACUAUUGUCAUGUGACAAGUUUAUAUGUACCUUUUAGAUUAUGGUGUGGGUUAUUAGUUUGCUAGAAAUAUUGGAUCUAUUUUGUAUUACAGGCUUAUGUUAUGAACCUUUUAAUUAUGGUGUUUUG